rnacentral:rRNA from 1 species
AGAUUGAACGCUGGCGGCAUGCCUUACACAUGCAAGUCGAACGGCAGCACGGGAGCAAUCCUGGUGGCGAGUGGCGAACGGGUGAGUAAUACAUCGGAACGUGCCCAAUCGUGGGGGAUAACGCAGCGAAAGCUGUGCUAAUACCGCAUAAGAUCUACGGAUGAAAGCAGGGGAUCGCAAGACCUUGCGCGAAUGGAGCGGCCGAUGGCAGAUUAGGUAGUUGGUGAGGUAAAGGCUCACCAAGCCUUCGAUCUGUAGCUGGUCUGAGAGACGACCAGCCACACUGGGACUGAGACGCGCCCAGACUCUACGGGAGGCAGCAGU